rnacentral:rRNA from 1 species
GAUGAACGCUGGCGGCGUGCCUAAUACAUGCAAGUCGAGCGGUAAGGCUUUCACAGAUUAUUCAACCAGAUAAGUCCGUAGGGAUACUGUCUGCAGCGAAGUUCUCUAGGCUAGAGAACAGAGUUGAAUAAUGCGUGAAAGUACACGAGCGGCGGACGGCUGAGUAACACGUAGGAACGUACCCCGAAGUGAGGGAUAAGCACCAGAAAUGGUGUCUAANACCGCAUGUGCUCUUAGGAGUAAAGCUCCGGCGCUUUGGGAACGGCCUGCGCAUGAUUAGCUUGUUGGUGAGGUAAAAGCUCACCAAGGCGACGAUCAUUAGCUGGUCUGAGAGGAUGACCAGCCAGAC